CCAAAUGCGUCCAAUAAUUUCGAAUUCAAUCUUUACGUUGGCGACGGCAUGCGAGCAUUUGAGAGAGUUGUCGGCGAUUCAUUGGAACAAAGUUUGUGAAGCCUUCCAGCUGCGCUACCGUACGAAGAAUCCAUUGCCGUCCUGUGAACUCUCAGCGCUCUUUCACCGUCUCUGGGGGAUCAUCGUCCAAUUUUCCACUUAAUCCACGGUAUUUUUCCUCUUCCCUUUCCGCUCCUGAAAUUUCCCCGCCUCUUUCGAGUUCCCGGCAAAAUUCAAUUUCAUUUCUAGGGUUUUUCGGCCCCGCGAACCCGAACCCGAACCCCCUACUGGAUUGUGCUUCGUUUUCUGUUUUCUAGUUGUUGGUUGAGUAAUUUCUGUGGAUUGUUGGAUGCUUAAAUCUGAAUUCAUUUUUGGGUUAUGGGUUUUGGUUGUUUUUGUGUUUGAUUUAAUGGGUAUUGUGGUUUGCCUUUGAAUAUGAGGUGAGUUGAGUAACUGAUCUCUUCUAGUUGUAACUUGUACUCACCGGGUUGGAAUGGGUAUUGAGUUUGCAAAGUAAGUUCUGAUUGGAUAUUAACUGUUUCACAUGGAUAAUGAGGUGAUUGAAUUUGAUAUUGGAUUGGGGGGAGGCAGUGGGAGAGAUGGAGAUGAUUAUUCUAUGGCUAUGGUGCAUGAUUCCAUGGAGGAAGAGGAAAUGAUUGAUAGCUCUCCUUUGAGUGGUCUUGGUUGUGGUGCUGGCAGUGGUGAGAUUUAUCUUCCUGAUGGUGAUCUUUUGGAUCUUGAACCUCAUGAAGGAAUGGAAUUCGAGUCUGAAGAGGCUGCCAAGGCUUUCUAUAACUCGUAUGCUCGACGGGUUGGGUUUAGUACUCGUGUCAGCUCCUCCCGUCGAUCUAGGCGUGAUGGAGCGAUUAUACAGAGGCAAUUUGUUUGUGCCAAAGAGGGGUUUAGGAAUAUGAAUGAGAAGCGAACUAAAGACCGAGAAAUUAAGCGUCCUCGAACCGUUACAAGAGUCGGUUGCAAAGCAUCUUUAUCUGUGAAGAUGCAUGAUUCUGGGAAAUGGGUUGUGUCUUGUUUUGUUAGAGAGCAUAACCAUGAGUUAGUUCCUCCUGAUCAGGUGCACUGCUUAAGGUCUCAUAGGCAAAUAUCAGGUCCAGCAAAGACCUUGAUUGAUACUUUACAGGCUGCUGGGAUGGGACCUCGCAGGAUUAUGUCUGCACUCAUAAAGGAGUAUGGUGGAAUCAGUAAAGUUGGAUUUACGGAGGUCGAUUGUCGAAAUUAUAUGAGGAAUAAUCGCCAAAGGAGCUUAGAAGGCGACAUUCAACUGCUGUUGGAUUACUUAAGGCAAAUGCAUUCUGAAAAUCCUAACUUCUUCUACGCCGUGCAGGGAGAGGAGGAUCAAUGGGUUGGAAAUGUCUUUUGGGCUGAUCCAAAGGCUCAGAUGAACUAUACUUACUUUGGCGAUACUGUUACAUUCGACACGACCUAUAGAUCGAAUAGAUAUCGUCUGCCCUUCGCUCCUUUCACCGGGGUGAAUCACCAUGGACAGCCAGUGUUGUUUGGUUGUGCUUUUCUAAUAAAUGAAUCUGAAGCAUCGUUUAAUUGGCUAUUUAGAACGUGGCUUUUAGCAAUGUCUGGUCACCCACCUAUGUCGAUUACUACCGAUCAUGAUGCAGUAAUACAGUCAGCCAUCGCACAAGUUUUCCCCGAGACCCAUCACCGUUUUUGCAAAUGGCAUAUUUUCAAGAAAUGCCAGGAGAUGCUAUCACAUGUGUUCCUUAAACAUCCAAGCUUUGAAGCUGACUUCCAUAAGUGUGUAAACUUGACUGACUCCAUUGAGGAAUUUGAGUCCUGCUGGUUGUCACUCGUCGACAGAUAUGAUCUCAGGGAUCACGAGUGGCUUCAGACGGUUUACUCAGCUCGGAGGCAGUGGGUUCCGGUGUAUUUGAGGAACACUUUUUUUGCUGAAAUGUCUAUUACACAACGAAGUGAUAGCAUGAAUUCAUAUUUUGAUGGGUAUGUGAAUGCUUCAACCAAUUUGAGUCAGUUCUUCAAACUGUAUGAAAAAGCUCUCGAGAGUCGAAAUGAGAAAGAAGUAAAAGCAGAUUAUGAUACAAUGAACACUUCCCCUGUUCUAAAGACUCCAUCACCAAUGGAAAAACAGGUUUCUGAGCUUUACACCAGGAAGCUGUUUUCACGGUUCCAAGACGAGUUAGUUGGCACGUUAACUUUCAUGGCCUCGAAGGCCGAUGAUAACGGGGAAGUUAUAACUUAUCAAGUGGCCAAAUUUGGAGAGGAUCAUAAAGCUCACUAUGUGAAGUUUAAUGUUGUGGAGAUGAGGGCAAAUUGUAGUUGCCAGAUGUUUGAGUUUUCAGGCCUUUUGUGCAGACAUAUCUUGGCUGUCUUCAGAGUGACCAAUGUGCUUACUCUUCCAUCUCAUUACAUAUUGAAACGAUGGACGAGAAACGCGAAGAGUAACGUGAUAUUGGAGGACCAUGUGAAUGAUAUCUAUAACAACUAUCUCGAAUCUCAUACGGUGAGAUAUAUUACCCUACGCCACGAGGCUUUUAAAUUCAUCGAGGAAGGAGCAAAGACUAUCGAUACAUAUAACGUGGCAAAGGAUGCCCUUCAGGAGGCUGUAAAAAGGGUUUCGCAUACGCCAAGGAAUAACAGUAAAAUUUCUUCGAUCGAUGAGCGAAUUAAAGCGGACCCUGCAAAUGAUAUAAGCUAUACUAAUCAUAGUAGUAGCACAUGUCAAGACGGGAGCUUGGGAAUAAACAUGUCCGAGGACGAUUUGGACAAGAAAAUCAAUGAACUGUCGAACGAGUUGGAGUGUGCAAAUCGGAAGUGUGAAGUGUAUCGAUCGAACCUUUUUUCCGUGCUGAAAGAUAUUGAGGAUCACAAGUUGCAAUUAUCUAUUAAAGUACAGAACAUAAAAAUCAGUAUGAAAGACAGCAUUUGAAGCUGUAGUAGAAGUAUAUAGCAAGUCUUUGACUCACCUCAAUACCAAAACAUUGUGUAACCUUGGUCCCAUCGAGAAGUCGACUAGUUCGGGGGAUGUAAACUUGUGUUUCUGUCGAGCAAUCGAGGCUCCUACAUCGGUAUGCAACAACUAAGAUGGAUGACUGCGUAUCUAUCUUCAUUGCAAGUUUUUUCUAGGCGUUCAAUGGGUCUUCUUUGAACCCAGUGGUGAUUCGAGUUUAAUCGUCUUCUUCACCGAUUCGAGUCUCCAAAUCCUAAUUGAAAAUUACAUGGGGAGAAAAUGACUGUUUUGAAGACUGUGGCGAUGUUCGUCUUAUUGAUGGCUAACCUUCUCAGAUCAGCGUCGUUUUCGACAUCAAUAUCUGAGGUAAACAAAUGUUGAUAUGUUUUUUCUUUUUUGUUCCUUAUGAUUUGGGUAGCAAAUAAAGAAUGCUAGGUGCCCUUGAACUGAAUGUACAGGAAAUUCUUUGUAGAUUUGGUGGUGUUGUUGCUAUGCUGAUAGAGUAGUUUGUUUAGGAGAUGUUAUUUAACUUUUAUUUAUGGAGUGCUCAACUUAGUUCUUUCAUCGGGCCAAAAUCUCGACUUUCUUUAGGAAGAACUGAGAAUGAAGUUCCUAUUUAGCGUUU